GAAUUGACUUUCUGAUACCAGAAUGGUCACUCUCACCGACACUUCUACUCCCCCUAGGUCCUUGCGUUGAAGGAUCUUCUCGGGUUAUAUUUUGUGAGACCUCAUCAGAUAUGUGACCAGCCAUCAAAGCACUUCUUCUCGUUUCUCUUCUCGGGGUAUCUACAAGAUAAAGGAAGUCUAUUUUACUAAAAGGUGAAGUAGAUUAAAGGUUAGAUAAAAAUAAUUUAUAACUACUAGGCUUAGCAUUCUUUCUACAGAGAUCCAAUUUUAUACAGCAUCAACAACUCAAAAAUCAUAAGCAACUUUGCAGCUUAUACGACAAUUUACUGGGGAUUCAGCUUAAAACAAGGACGUUCAAGGCCUACAAUUCCAUAGUCGGCUAUGGGGUAGAUCAUCUAUCAGGUGUAAUCUUAAUCUUUAUGAGCACACAAGCUUUAAUUCUUCAUGCACAUAUAACCAUCAAGAAGAACAAGGAAUUCAUUGCUGAAAUAUGGCAACAAUAUUAUGAAAACAUUUACUUAGUACAUCAAACCAAAGUCUAGUAUAGAUGAUCCUGAUCUAUAAUUGGCUAGUAAUUAAUUGUUAUCUACAUGAACAUCAAAGCACAACACAAAACAUAUACACCAACAUCAAUUAAGAGCAGAGCAUACAGAAGACGUUGAAAAAUGCAUCAACAUUAAUAGGAUUACCGAACAUGCAUUAUAUUAAGGAUCACAUAUAGAUGCAUAAGGGGAAAAUGAAAAAUGGAAGAAAAAGAUAAAGAGGAAGAUCUAAACUGCAUACAACACAUUCAACACAAUAGAUCUUUGCAAUAUCGAGAUAUAAAAUAAAUUGUUCAAGUGAAAUUCUAUAUGAGAUAACAAGCAAAGGGCAGACUCAUUAUUAUUACCUUUUUAAGAAGGAUGAGUUCAUUAUUCGUUGAAUGCUAUAUAAAACACCCCCAUUGCAACAACAACAACAUACCAGUGUAAUCCCACACCAUCCUUAGCUCUACCUCUCAGAGAUAGAGAGACUGUUUUGGGUAGACCCUCAACUCCCUUUCCCCCACCACCCAACUUAAGGGCCAAUUGACCUUCUCUUUACCCAAGGAAGCGUUUCACCUCAAGAAUCAUUUUCUUGCGUUUAACCCCUUUCUCAUUUAGGAUGGAAGUUGAAAAGAGGUGAGAUUGCCCCCUUGCACGUUAGAGCAAGGAUGCCAUCAACUUUUAUGUGAUACCCACAGAAAAGACAUAUACAUGUUAUCAAGAAAAAGAAAGGAGGAUAGCAUCAACACCAUACAUUCUUUAUCGGUUAUCUCGCCCAUUAACUAGAGCAAGAACUGAUUAAACAAAGGCCGAGAACUGUAAACACCCUUUCCCUUUUAUGUCAAAGAGCUAAAAUCAACUGUAUUAGGAAAAAGAAGAUAUACAUUCCAGACUUUUAUCAGAGAAAACAAGGAUGGCAUAGUAUAGUAGGAAACUCUUAUCUCGAUUUCUUUUUUUUCUCUUUUUCAAUUGUUAAAACUUUUACCUCAAUCUCUCCGCAAACACUAUUAAAAGUGAAUAUAGAGGAAAGAUGGACUCAGAAGGUUAGACACACCAUUGAGAAUACUAAGAUACUAAGUAAUGGUUGUAUUUAUUUUGUGUCUACCACAAGUGUAGUCAAACACGUGGAAGCGAGCGUUUUUGUAUAACACAAUUCGGUGGGCAUUCUAGUAUUACAUAGUCCCACCCUUACUAGUAAUCUAAUACUUCAAUGGAAAACAUUUUCCAUCAUACCACACACAGAAUUAAGAAAGAAGCAGCUGCAGGAAGAUAGAUAUUCAUCAAAACAGUAAAAAGCAAUGUUAGCGCCUAAACUAAUUAAGAGUUUGAAGUUUCCCCUUAAGCAAUUCUUUCAAACAUUGUCCCGUGCAAAUCUUUUAAGGGCCUGUUUGGCCAUGAAUAAUUUUCACUUUUUCUUGGAAUUGUAUUCCGGAAUCAUGUUUGGACAAAGAAUUGCUAGAAUAUACUCCCUCUGUCCCAAUUUAUGUGGCACUUUUCGUUUUUUGAGAGUCAAACAAUUUAAGUUUGACCUAAACUUUGUGCAUAGAAUCGUCAGUUUUUUUGAAAUGAAAUUUAUAUAUUUGUAAACUACGUAAAAAGUACUAUAAGUCACAAUAAUUGGCAAUUCAAAAUAAUUAAAAGAUAUAUGAAAAAUUUACGGUCAAAGAUACAAUUGUUUGAAUCUCGAAAUCUGAAAAGUGCCACAUAAAUUGGGACGGAGGGAGUACAUGUUUUCACAUUUUCACUCCAAACCACUCAUAAAAAUUCAACAUUUUUCCAAGUUGUAUUCACGUCCCAAAUACAACCUCAAUUUCUAAUUACCACUUUAAAACUUUUUAUCAAAUACUACUUUUUUUUUUUUUACGAAUUUCACAUUUUUAUGUCCAAAACAUCCACUAAAAUAGUAUUAGCCCUACUAGUGUCUAAGUACGGAUGGAAACUCCCUCCAAGGGCAGAAUUAAAAUUUUGGUUACAGGUUUGGCAUGACUAAUAGCUUUGGUUCAAAUCCGAGAUUUGCGUUUAAAUAUUCAUUGAAUAUGUACAAAUUAUUAAUUUAGAAACCAAUAACUUAAAAAGACUAGAGCCCAAACCCACAAACUUAAAAUCCUGGCUCUGUCGGAGUUUCCCUCUGCCCCCACAAUAAAAGCUUAUGGACACUGGCAAGUAGAUAAGAUGAACUAGAGAUAAGACCAUGUUUUAUGAGCUUACCCCCUUCUUUUAUGCUUUUUCUCGAAGAAAAGAAGAAAAUGACCUAGUUGUAUCAGCUAUAUGAAUACUAUAUAUCAAUUCACCUUUAUACAAACCUUAAUCCAAUAGCCAAAGGAUUCAUUUGAGAUGAAUUUUAAACUGGUCCUCCACCUAGUAAAACCCUCUUUGGAUCUUCUUGUUUAUCCGGGUUUGGAACCGGAGAUGUAUGGGAAAACUCACAUACGCAGAGUUCCCAUACAAUUUUAAUAGAUUCAUAACAUUGCGAAUUAAAAAUAGUAUCUUUUCCCUAUUAGGAUUCUCCUUUACCGUUUAUACUAUAGCUUUCUAUUAAUUGCAGCCCAAAACCUAGACAUUAGGAGCUUCUUAAUCAUGAGAACAAACCAAAUUGUGAAGCAUGAAGUAAGAUUGCUGUGGAUCUUCUUAAAAUAGCUCACAUAUAAAUCUUCUUUAAAUUAUUUAAGAUAGAAAAUAUGUCAUCUUACUAAAAAAAAAAAGAAUUUCUCUGAUGAUGUUAAUGACAUCAAAAGAAAAGGAGUUUCCUAGUGAGGUGUCAAUUUCAUAUUGAUUAAAAUAUGAUUCAAAACUUAAAAUGUAAGAAUGCGCAAAAUUUUAUGUUGGCUGCUAUAUAUGAAUAAUAACAACACCAAUAGAACGAUAAGAAUUGCGCUCCAACAUCUAAGUGGUUCAGACUUGUGUGCAGUUGUUCGAUACAUGUGCGAAUCUAGAGAUCGGAUCCUUCAUGAUCUAAAUUUUAAAAUUUAGGGGUAUGGGUCUAAGUACAGAUACCGGUGCGGGAAUUUGGCAAAAAUAAUUCAAAUAUCUAAAAGUAGAGUUUUAGAUUCAAAUUAUAAGGCAUUACAUGGAAAUCUUACAAGUUGUUAUGACAAAAACUUAUUGAUCAAAAGGAAAAUUCUAGAAGGAGAUAUAAGGAAAGAAACUAACAUAGAUAUUUCUAUAUACAAGACACUCAAUUUAUUCAAUUUCACCUUAGCUUUUGUUUUGAUUAUAGAAAUCAUUAUAUCUAUCCCAAAUUUCUCUAUUGACUCAAAGUAUCCAAAAUUAGUUGACCAAUUCGGAUCUCACACUCACACCCUAUGCUACUCGGACUCUUCAAAAAUAUCAAUGGGUGCAUGUUGGUUUCUCCAAAACCUGUGCAUUUUUGAAGAAUCUGACACGGGCGCAACAUCAAAAGUGGAGAGUCCACGCAACUUAGCCCACACCCAUACCAUGUCGACAUGGGUGCAACACUGAAAUUGAAAAGUCCAAGCAAUUAAGUAAUGUGAGUACAUCCGGUUCUUGGUCCGUAUGUUGUGUAAUGUGUUAGGUAAUAAUGUAUCUCUGCACUCUAAGUUUAAAAAUUGAUGUAUUGGAUCCAUGAGCAAUUGCUUCUAAUCCAACUGAUUAUUACAUGUUUCACUUACAAAAUGUAUAUUUGAUUAAAGCAAUUUUUCUCUCUAGUCUCCAUACACAUGUUGAUAAUCACCUACAUCAAUGAAGAACAGGAAGCGAAACGCUAUGUCGGGACAGGGGACGGAAAAAGAAACAAUUUUGAAGAAAAAAAUUAGGGUUCCCAAUGCUUCUCCAUGUUCAAUGAGAUGCGCCAACCUCAGGAUGCUUUACUCCUAAUACCACAAGGUUCCGAUACGGAGCUUAACAUGAGUCUUGGUUAAGAACAGAGAUGAUAUAAAUUUUACACGGAACACGAUUCCAUGGAUAGUUUCAUCCGAGAUCGUGAUGGAGGAUAUACCUUACGAUCAUCGUUUUUGCUUGACUAUAGGAAAUGUAUUUCUUUAUUCUUGAUAACAAAAAUAAAGCAAACUUGAUGAAUAUUGUUUAUAUAAUAGAGAAUAAAUUUAAAUUUAAAAGAUUCAAUAGUAGUCCAGCCGUCUUAGUUAGAUAGUAAGAAGUAUAGAAUGAAAAAGACUAGCAAAUAUCAUUUAAUCGGAUAAUUUAAUCCUAACAUAAUGAACAACGUUCACCCUUAAUCUCCUCAUCUUCAUUGAAUAUUACAAAUCUUACAAUUCAUUGCUACCACUAGGCCAUACUCUGUGGAGCUAAUCUCGUAAUUUUUGUAACUUGAUAAUAGUGAGGAAACCUAUAAUAUGUAUGACUAUUUGUCUAUUGCCUGGUGAAGAGAGUACAGAAGAGCCUCUCAACAAGGGCAGGACAAAAUACCCUGUGAAGGUUCCUUUUUAGGUGGUGUGCUUUUCUUGGCUCAUAGAAAGAAAUGCUUGCCUCUCACAGGAUAAAGUUCAAAGAAGGGAAUUUCAACUGUGUUCUAGAUACUUUUUGUGCUGCUAGGGAAAAUAACAGUCACUUAUUCAUUCAUCGUCCUGUUACUGGGAAAUUAUGGUGACUAUUCUUGAAAAUGGUAGGAAUCAGAUAGUCAAUGCCAGCAACAAGGGUUGAUUUAUUGAAAUGUUGGAAUCAGAAUGACAGGGCAGUUAGUCAAAAAUAUUUGGUGGAAACUUGUCCUUACUUGAAUAUGGUGGACCAUUUGGAAGUAGAUGAAGACAAAUACAAUUUUGUGCAGAAAGUCAAGAUGAAUUGUAUUUUUGUUUCAUUUUUGGUAUAAAGAAAGCUAUGUUGAGGAGGCUGAAUCACUAGUUGUCAUGAUAGGAUCCUUGUGAAGAAAUAGCCUAAGCUUGGUUGGGAUUUUGUGAAGUCUUUUUGCACUGUUAUGGCGCAACUUUAAUAGAUACUGGUAGAUAAUGUUAAGACGUCACAAGAUUAGCCAUAACUAUUGUUCUAUAUUAAGUUUUUCUUUUGAUGAUAUAAGUUGUUGUAUUGAAAAGGCAUCAAGGAGAUGCAUGAAAGAUAACAGAUCAAAUGGUUAUAACUCCAAACAGCGCAAACAAAACAAGUAAGAGCUGGGGGUUAAGAACCGAAAGCAAAAAAGUUCAAGGCUGCUAAUUCACUGAGACGGAACUGAUGAAAUUUAGAAGGGGAUGAUAUCAUUUACAGGGGAAAGGUUGCUCCAGCUAUAAAGAUUCAACAAACACUAAGAUCUAAGAGAGCAAUUGGGAGUUAAAAUCAAUCAUUACAUCUUUUAUUUCUUUCUGUCCAUAAAUACCAAAAAAUGCAAGCUGGGAUCAUCUGCCAGAUCGUGUUGAUGUUCUUGUCACUUUCCAUGAACUCCAACUUUCAAAUGCUCGUUUUAGGUUGAGGGUGGUUGUCCAGCUAAUUCCAAAAAAUUCCAAAAACAUAGUCAAAGGUCAGCUGCCUCAAGGUAAUGCAGUAGCAAGUGGUUUACAAUCUCUAAGUUGUUUUGGCACAUAAAACACAUGUUCACCACUGGAAUGCCUCUUUUUCUCAGGUUGUCCUGGGUUAAGAUGGCAUUGUGAAGGGCUGUCCAAGGGAAACCCUUAACUUUUGGGGGGAGUUUUACAUUCAAAUGAUUGUAUCAUGUUUUCACUGUGAAGAUGCCUCUCUUCAGGGCCCCCUCUCCCCCCUGGGUUAAGAUGGCAUUAAAUAAUUAUUAUAUUUUAUAUGUGUUUCAACAAUUAAAUGUAACAGUUGAGUCCAAAUCACAUUGUAAUUUAGGCUUUAGGAUUGAAUGACUCAAAAUAUUAUACUAAACCAUAAACCUGUGUGCUGCACAUUUAUAAGUACAACAACACACAGGAGACUGUGGUUAGAACAAGGAACACAAAGUAUACUUUCCUUGCAAAAACAAAGCAUACUGAAGUAAUAACUUAGGAGGAUAAGUUCUCAUUUAUUCUUCAAACAAGGAUUAUCCAUUUCUGUGAUACAAAGAACUACCAUCAGUACACCACUCUAGGUAAAAUCUAGUUGCACAACUAAAUUGAAAAUUCAGCUUGUGCCUGGAAAGCUGAAAUCGGGAACAAAAGUCACAAAAUAAAUAUGGAACUGGAAAUAACUUUUCACCAUCUCCCACUGCUCUAUCCCCAAAAAAACUCAUGGGAGGGAGGUUUCUUUAUGGAAACAAUAAUCACGACAUAAUUUAGUUUCUUUCCUGUCAAAGCGUAAGAUUCUUUCACCUACAAACUCAUCAAAAAGGGAUUUUUCAUCUUCAUCUUAGAUUAGCAAAGCACUGUAGCGAAUGAAUAGUUCAAAAAAAGUGAGACUGAUAUCAACCCAUCAACUUGAUAAAGUUUGGUCAUUCGCAGAACUUGAACAUAGUUGCUUUUAGACAUGAUCACAAGACAUCUGCCGUCUCUAGAUUGAUCGGGUGUAGCAAAGCACUGUAGCAAAUCUUAAAUACUAGAAAUGAGAGAAUUUGAUGUACAUGUACGCCAAUAAAUACUGCAAAUCACAUGUAACUGAAAUCUUAGACUGCAACAUGAUUAUACAUACUUGAAAUAGGUGGUGAUUGGUGAUGCUUUGAAAUCAAAACUGUCAGCCAUUCCACUACGCCUUUUCUUGUACGCCACUUUGUGUCAGAAUUUAUGGUACUUGUAUGCCCAAAAGUAUCCAAAUAAUCCUCUGAGACAACAUAUAACAUGUUCCUUGAGCUUCCUUCAGUACCCACUACAGCAAGGAUUAACUCCCCUGAGGUAUCCUUCAAGUAGUAGUGCACAACACGACAACACUUCCCCUGAGAAACAACGUGCUCUUCCCACGAACUAAAUACAUGACUAUCUGUAUCCAUCCUAAUGCCACAGAGAAACAGUUUGGAUUAAUCGAAAAAUAGCCCAGUUCUAAACAAAUCAGUUUAGGCUAAAUAAUCAUGAACAAACAUAAUCCUCCUAAGUUCUGUUACAAUUUAGGACCCGAUCAAACAAACAUAAAUGAUUGGAACAAAAAACAUCAGAUACAAAGAACAGAUUUUUCCAACAAUUAGCUCCUAAUGAUCAUAUAAAAAAUGAAAAAACAUAAACAAACCACAACCCCAAAUGAAACACAGACAGAAUUUUGCUUAAUCCAAAGAUAAACCAACCUUACUUCCAGAAAACUCUCAACAGCUCAGCUACUAAGAACAGAUAAACUUUUUCAAGAAUUACCAACCAAGGAUCAAAUUCACAAUGAAAAACAACAAUGAGGCCCAAACCCAAGUGAAAAAUGAAAUAGGGUUUGCCGAUUUUCAAAGAUUAAUCAUGUACAAGAAUAAAAGCACACAACAUUGAACCAGCAUUGAGAAGACAUCAAGUGCUCACACUUACAAGCAGCAAAAAAGAACCCAAAAUUCAAGAAAAACAAGCUAAGCACGUGACUAGAACAAAAACACUUAAAAGAGAAAUGGGUUUGCUGAUUUCCAAAAAGAUUAACCAUGUACAAGAACAAAAAUACAGAACAUUGAACCAGCAUUGAGCAGACAUCAAGUGAUCACACUUACAUCAAAUAGCUUAGGAUUGGAAAAGAGAACAAGCAGCCAAAAAGAACUUGAAAUUCAAGAAAAACAAGCUAAGCACGUAACUAGUACUGACUGAUCUCAAAAAUAGCAAAAGUUUGUUGCCUUAUGAAGAAACUGAGUUUCAGAAAAAAGCCAGAGAAUGCUGAGUUGGGUCUUUUGUCUACAAGCAGUGACAGUUAGGGAAAAGGAUAGAGUAAAGAGUAAAAGAACAAGAAAAGAAGAAAGAGAAGGAGGUAGAAAAAGCCAAAUGCCAUUGUUGCCAACACAAGCAAAAGGCUGAGCUCUGGGUUUUCGUUUCAACUUCUUUGUGACAUGUGGAAGCAACAAGAGGGAGAAACACAAUACUUAAGCUUUUGAGUUUUAGCCUUUACACUAAACAAAAUUAGUGUUACAACAGUAUUAGUCACAGAAAAUUUAUUCCAAAAUUAAACUAAAAAAUACGAUUUUGAACCCGUUUCAUGCUCAUGUCAGGUCGGGGUUACUGAAGAAAGAAAAAACCUGCAUGCUCAUGUCAGGUCGGGGUUAGUGAAGAAAGAAAAAACAUGCAAAAUUCGAUUCAUUUUAUCGAAAUCGAUUAGUUAAUAUGUAAGUUAAAUGUAUUUUUAAACAUGAAAAAUAUCUUUGGCCUAUCAAAUUAUCUGUAGAGCUGUGAAAAAAAUUCAACAAAAGACGAAAACAAAUCCACUUCCGUAAUAGAAACUUAAAUUUGUUCACAAUAUUAAUCAUAUUUUCUGUGCCAACGAGGAGUAUAAUAAUAUUUCAUUUGGACUAAUAUUCUCUAUGUGAAUCUCUUCCAGGCCAAAUGGAAGCAGAAUGCGCCUUUCCUCUGUUGAGGAAUUCCACGAAAUGAAAACGGGCAACAUCGAUGCUCCACCUUUUAGUAACAACGUAAUGACAAGUGUGUUGAAGCCAUAUAACAGGGACAAAAUUCAUCGAUUAGGUGGCAGGUUUGUAGGUCUUUGAUCUAUCAGCACCCAUUUCUUUUUUAAGCAAAGAGGAAAUUGUACAGCCCAAUCAGUAUAAGAAUAAAGCCAGAUUAAGGUAUUUAAGCAAGAACUGUCUGAUCAUACAAGUGUGUUUCUGCUGCUGAUAACUUGCAGUUCCUUGUUAAGUUGUAUGAAAUUUCAAACAUGCGAUGCAAUACAAUUUUGAGCCGAGGGUCUAUCGAAACAGCCUUUCUAUCCCACAAAGGUAAAGGAGGGUAAUGUCUCCGUACAUCUUACCCUCCUCAGAUCUCAAUUGUGGGAUUGCACUUGAGCCCACCUCACGGCCCAAAAGACCAGUCCUUUAUGAUAUUGCAAUUGUAAACAGCUCUAAUCAGCAAAUUUUGAAUUGAUUAAUUCAGAGUAAUUAUCAAUCCAGCUAUGAGGCCAUUCCGCUGAACUAAGAAUAAACAGUGCAUUACUCGAAACAAUCAGUAUAUAAGACUAGACAAAGAAUAAUUGGUAAAGGAGAAGGGGGUUUAACCACUUCUUUUCUUAGCAAAUAAAAAGCUCAUGCUGUUUCUCUCUGGGUACAUGAAAAAAGCAAUCUGACAGCUUUAGUAAUUGAAACCAAAAAAUCAGCGAUCAAAAGAUAACCUAAUAAGAAUCAAGAGGUUGUAACAUGAUAAUGAAAAAAUCAGACAACAAUAUUUCUCUGUUCACUUAAUUUGAAAUACUAAAUGAAACCACAAAAUAAUUUGUUUUGAAAUGCCAAAGAAUGCAUACCAGACAACACAUUCUUAAUGCCACAGGGAUGUGUAUCAGUUUCUCUCCCGAGAGCACUUUUCAGUGUGAGAAUUUCAUUAGGUAGUUGGUAAUCAUCUAAUUCACCACUAUAUUUGACAUCGUGAAUAAUAAGGAUCUUAUAGUUGCCACUAAUUGAGUCAUAAAGCAAUCCCAAAAUUCCUCCAGGCGAAAUCAUGGAUGUGGAGGCACUUUUGAUUCUCUUGUGGAGAGAUUACAUAGCGAUAGGUUGGGUGCGUCGAAAUCCAAAUUAUUAUCACAAACCGUGAUAAUAGUCAAGCCAUUGCAAAAUCAAUUGAUUGCGCAAAACCCUGGUUUAGAGUUUGAAGGGCAAUCAAUUUUCUGUACAUCAUCAACCAGUUGAACCGACAAUAAAAGACAAUAAUUGAUUGAAAAUAUACAAUCCUUGUGGCACUUCUGACAAAUAAGAAAUUUUUGGGAAUUUUGGUCAUUCUUAGCAUAUUUGAGAUGCUUCAUCUUAAAGUAAGGCUUGAAGAUCAAUGUUUUCCAAAAUUUUGUGAUACAUUUGAAAAAAAGACGAGACCGCACAGGUAAUUUCCGGAGUAUAUCAGCAAGUAUUUCCUCUGAGAAGUGACAACACGGACAAAGACAGGACAACAAAGAGUGAUCAUAGUAUUUGAAUAUUAGACAUUUCAACCAAGAGAUUUAAGAAGAUAAAACUUUUGAUUUCUUCUAUCUACUACUUACAAACAAUUACUAAUAAAAUUUAUACUUUCAAGUAGAGGAAGGGACAGAUAAGCCAAGUACCUUUAAGCAUUCCCAUCAUGUUUGACAAAAUAACUCACUGAAUAUAUCAACUGGUGUCUGAAUAAAAGGGACUAUAAAUUUGACUUUCUAUUACCACCAAAUACUAUAGCAAUGACAACAAACAACAUACUCAGUGUAGUCCCACAAAGUGAAGUCUAGGAGGGAACAAUGUAUGCAGACAUUACCCCUACCUCAGAAAGGGAGAGGUGAUUUUCGGUAGACCCCUGGCUCAAAUACCAUAGCAAUGCGCACUUAAAUUUUCCCACUAGGUCCAGCACAUUUUUAACAAUUAAAGUAAAAUUAAGCAUAGGAAUUAUACACCGUUUAGCCAAACAACAAAAAUGUGGUUAACAAAAGAACUCACCUCAUCAACAACAUCCAUCUGCUUUGAUGGCUUUUGAUUUCUUCCUUUGUUGGCAAUUCACCUUUUGUGUUCGAUUUGAAUGCUAGGGUUAUUUUAUAUUGUGGAGGGAGUGCGUGCACGAUUCAGAAUUUCCUCUCUGAACUACCCAUGUACCUAUCUCCACAAACACAAUAGUAAAAACAUCAUGGAGCGGGUGUUUUGAUACCGUCAUUUAACUUGUACUCAUCUUUUUAAAAUUUUUGCACAUAUACCAUUUCAGACAUGCCAUGUCUGAAGUUAGACUAGACAAAAUCAAACUUCAGACAUAGUGUCUAAAAUUUCAUGACUGAAAUUCUGGUAAAAAUGGUUGAACUUUAUCAUAUACUAGUAAAAUUAUCUGCGCUUCGCGCGGAAAUUUAAUAUCACAUAAUUUAUAAAACAAUACUUACAAUCUAUCAGUCAUUAAAAUUAAAACACUAUUUUAUCUUAGAUACAAGAUUACGUAGGAACGAACAUUAAUAAUGUAAAGGAAAAUAAUAAUUAUAACAUUUUAUCAUUUAUCCUUCAAUCAAUCAUCUUUAAUUUGAUUUUAUAAUUUAUCCUUUUGCCGUCAGGAAGUAUUACUAUUUGAUAUUUUUGGGAAAUUAGAUGAACAUCAACGUGAGAUAUUAAAUUUUCUAAUAAAUAAAUAAUAUUUAUAUGUACUAANNNNNNNNNNNNNNNNNNNNNNNNNNNNACAAAGUUUAAAACAUGUACUAAAAAACAACAAUUAAUAUCAUAAGCAUAAAUUAAUGACUGUAAAAAAAAUAUACCAAGAUCUAUAACAGUAGAAUGAAACAGAAAGGAAAAAAUUGAGCCCACAAUGCACAGUGUUCCCUUAAGGAAAUUAUUCCCCUCUAGUACCCGAGGUUUAAUGGAAUAGAUCCUCUCAGGAUGGAACAAUUUUAUUCACAAGUAUAUAGAUAUAAAAACAAUGGUGUCAGUGAGCCCUUCAACAGGAGCAAAGUACUUGAAUAUUUAAUUGUGCAGAAGAAGAAGAAGAAGUUCAGAAUUUUCGUUGUUUGAGAGGAAAUCCCUCUAUUUAUAGACAACAAAGGAUAGUGUGAACGAAUGCUUAUUGUGCCUUAUCGAAAAUGUCACAACUCUUCGAAAAGGUCAGAACCUUUCAUAAAAGUCACAAUUUUUCAUAAAAGUCGUAACUCGUCAUGAAAAUCGCAAUUCUUCAUAAAAGUCACAACUUUUCGUAAAAGUCACGUCUUUUCAUGAAAGGGGAUGACUAUUUUUGGGUAACUCUUCAUAAAAGUCGCAACUCUUCAUAAAAGUCAUAACUUUUCAUAAAAGUCACAUCUUUUCAUGAAAGGGGAAGGCUAUUUUUAGAAAUAAAUAAAUCUAAAAGGAAAUUCUAGCUUGUGGUGGCGCCACGUAGGCGGGCCUAGGGUUCUCUUUUAUAUAAAUAUAUGAUAUGAUGUCCAAAGACCUUUUCUAGGUCUUUGUACUCAUUAUGUCUAGCAUUGAAUAGACCGAAUAUUCACCUUAUCAAGAUCUCAAAUCAAUGAUGAGGUCUGGUUGGCACCUCCUAAAUGGGUGUCCAAAUUGGACUGAAUCCUUUGUCGGGCUAUGGUUCCGUCAAAGAUAUGGAGUAAGACAUUAAUUUCUCAAUAAGAUCAUUUUUUUAUUGUAUGAUGAACCCGGUGAAAAGUACAGGAACAAUUUUGUCCCUUUUCCCGUAAUUUGAAUUACAAGCCACAGAGUCAAAAGAAACUAAUAAAAUUGCAUCCGAAAGAUGAACCAACUAAAUUUACAAACAAAACAACUGAGAUAGUGGUAAAAAUGUAAGAGCUUUUUGCCAACAUAGCAAACACAUACUCAAAGGAAACUUCAUAAAGUUAAAACUUUUAUGCAUAACCAAUAAGAGAGAGUGUACAAUACAAGAGCAUGCCAACUUCUAGGCCAAUUUGUAAAACUCAUACAUAUAGUAACCAAAAGAGUGCGCUCAGAUGGUAAGCACCCUCCAAUUCUAAACCUCAGGUUGUGAGUUCAAGUCACCAAGGGAGCGAAAAAGUGGGAGUUCCUGGGGAGGGGUAAAAAAAAAAGAGUGCUUGCUUAUAGCUCUUUAAGAUGCCUUUUCCAAGUUUUGCUGUCAAAGACCUAUACAUUUACAAAAGGCAAAUCGAGCACCGUUGAAAGUUACUUACAUGUCAAAAUUUACCCAGUGUCAAAAGUAUUUCACUAUUAUCAAAAAGAACUAACCACUGCUAGACGCCAAAAUCAUCACUUGUAGAAUUGUCUGAAAUCAGUUCUUGUUACCUGCAAGAAAAUCAAUACACCAUCACUUUUUCAGUUUAAGCACAUCAGUGUCUUGAUUCUCAGCUGAGUGUUUAGAAGUUGACGCCAUUUUGUUGUCUUCAGGUGCCACAAGCUUGGGAGCAUCUGCUUUUCGCACUUAUCAGGUUCUUUGAUACUGCACUUGGAUACAUCAGAUAAACUCGAGUUUAUGAACGACUUUAUAUCUUUCUUUCCCUUAACUUCAAGCCAUUUGUCAUCAAUCCAACCUCUUGAAGUCCUCAUGUUCUUCCUUUGAAUCUUCAAUAAUAUGUUCUCGCCUGUUAUUGAGAAAAAGAAAAACACCUUGGGGCAUCAGGCCAUGACCAACAUUAAUCAUUAAAAAUCCAAGACAACAAAUUGGCCAGAAGCAAGGUCUAUUGUUUAAAGUUUUUCCACUACUGAGUUAAAAAGCCAAUUUAUGAUAAUGUUGAGCUUAGACAUAUGAUUUCAAGUAAGAAUUGAAAAUAAUUAGAGACUCCAAUUUUUCAUUUAUUGGCUGUUGAGUUAUCCUUACGCGAAGUUGCUAUGCAUCAACCAAUAAGCAAGAAUUCUCCUUUUAUUCCUUGUUUUCUAUUUCUAUUUUAACUUUUUAGUUUUUUGGGACUGAUAUUUCUUACCAGGGAAGUAAACCUGAAGAUACCGCUUCCACAAACAUCAAAUCCAGCAACAAAACCUUCCCCCCAUCCAUCGGACCACCAAGCAUCAACUGCAGCUCCUAGUUCAAAAGAAAAGUCAGAAGAAUCCUCCAGAGGCCGUGGACAAACUGUGAUGCAUCCUGUGUAUCUCAUGCCCAAUCUAUCAGACCCUGCAACUCUGUAGGAAGGAAUCCAUUCCUACAAAAUCAAGCAAAGGUGUUCAGGAAACAGGGUGAAAGGUGAAGGGUGAAGGGACAACAUACAAGUCAAUAUAUGUAAGUAGAUCAUAAGUCUUAGUAUAUUAACUUAAGUUAUAGUAGCAGUGGUUAAGGUAACUCAAACUUUUCAGGACCAUCAUAAUCCUGGAUGUCAUCAUAUUGAACUUUCAGACGUUUUUGUGAUACCUGUAAGACCUUACACCUGAACCAGCAGCCUCUCAUGCCACUAUCGUGGCAAAGAACCUCUAAGUUGUCACCAACUUCAAAAGACAGAUUAUAUUAACGCUCAACAAGCUGAAUUCCAACCGACCCUAUGCUUGGAAAUUUUAUUUUUAACUUUGUGUAAGUUGAUGGUUUGGCUUUUGCUAUCUGGUUACCAGGAAUUGACUUUCUGAUGCCAGAACACUCUCACCAACACUUCUAACAAGGAUACACUUACAUAUCGCCCCUCGUCCAAAACGCCAUGGAAAACAACUCUGAGCAAUCGGUGGGUCAGUGGUUGGAUACCCAGCGCAGCAUCUCCUUGAGCAGCAGGAAGAGCAGUUGGAGAUGUUCUGGACCUAUCCAGGAAAUGGAGCAGGUUAACGAUUUUAAGAACCACCUACUUCCCCUUUCCCACAUCAAGAAGAUCAUGAAAAGGAUGUCCUCAUGAUCUCAGCUAAAAAUAAGGACAUUCAAGGCCUACAAUUCCAUAGGCAGCUAAAAAUAAGGACAUUCAGCUUGUGCCUGGAAAACUGAAAUCGGGAACAAAAAUCACAAAAUAAAAAUGGAACUGGAAAUAACUUUUCACCAUCUCCACUGCUCCCUCCCCAAAAAAUCCACGGGGGAAGGCUUCUUUAUGGAAAGAAUAAUCGCAACAUAAUUUAGUUUCUUUCCUGUCAAAGCAUAAGAUCUUUCAUCUACAAACUCAUCAAAAAGCAUUUUUCAUCUUCAAAUUAGAUUAGCGAAGCACAGUAGCCGGUGAAUAGUUCACAAAAAGUGAGACUGAUAUUAGCCCAUCAAAUUGAUAAAGUUUGGACAUUCGCAGUACUUUAACAUUGUUGCUUGUAGACAUGAUCAUGAGGCAUCUGUCAUCUCUAGAUUGAUUGGAUGUAACCAGUAGCCAAUAAUCUAUGAUCAACUUCUUCAGGAAAUGCUAACUACUAGAAAUGAGAGCAUUUGAUGUACAUGUACGCCAAUAGAUACUGCAAAUCUCAUGUAACUAAAAUCUUACUGCAACAUGAUUAUACAUACUUGAAAUAGAUGGUGAUCGGUGAUGCUUUGAAACCAAAAACGUCAGCCAUUCCACUACCUCUUUUCCUGCAUGCCACUUUGUGUCGGAAUUCAUGGUACUUGUGUGCCCAAAAGCAUCCAAAUAAUCCUCUGAGACAACAUAUAGCAUGUGCCUUGAACUUUUUUCAGUACCCACCACAACAAGGAUUAACUCCCUUGAGGUAUCCUUCAAGUAGUGGUGCACAACAUGACGGCCCUUCUCCUGAGAAACAACGUGCUCUUCCAUAAACUAAAUACAUGAUUAUCUGUAUCCAUCCUGAUGCCACAGAGAAACAAUCAUUUUAGGCUAAAGAGUCAUGAGUAAACAUAAUCCUCUAAGUUCUGUUACAAAUUUAGGACCCGAACUGAAAUGAUUAUAAUUAAGAACAUCAUACAGAAAGUAGACAUUUUUCCAACUAUUCGCUUCUGAUGACCAUAUAAACAAUGAAAAAACAGCAUCAAACCACAACCCCAAAUGAAACACAGACAAAAUUUUGCUCAAUACAACUCAGCUACAAAGAACACAUUUUUUUUUCAAGAAUUACCAAUAAAGCCCAAACCCACAUGAAAAACGAAAUGGGAUUCGCUGAUUUUCAAAGAUUAACCAUGUACAAGAACAAAAACACACAAUAUUGAACCAGCAUUGAGCAGACAUCAAGUGAUCACACUUAAAACAAAUAGCUUAGGGUUGUAAGUGGAAACAAGCAAUCAAAAAAUAACCCAACAAGCUAAGCAUGUAACUGACUUCAAAAUUAGCCAAAGUUUGUUGCUUUGUGAUAAAAUAGAGCUUGAGAAGGCCUAAAGAGUAUCCUUCUGGUCAUGGGAGCCAAGGUUUUGCUUCUUUUAUUUGGGACCUAAAAAAGAAAUCUAUUUAAUUAAGGAGAUGAUUUACUUGGAAGUACAAAUUUAAUUCUAAAAUUAAACUAAGGCCUGUUUGGAAAGUCAUUUUCGUAAUUGAAUUUGAUGUAAUUGGGUAUCAAUCAGCAGGUAAUUUUGGUGUAAUUGGUAUGAGUAAUUACACUUUUCAUUUCACAGGGAGGGAUUGUGAAUUGCUCGAAUUACAUGGUAUAAUUACAGGCUACUUAUUAAUUUUUAAUUUUUAAUUUUUUGUUUUAAUAUGUUUUUUAUUUUUAUUAUUUUAAAUUCUUCAUAAAAAAUCAUUAAUAUAAGGUUGUUAUGGACUCACGUGUUCCUUUUCUUUUAAUUCAUAUUUAUGUAUGUUAUGUUGAAAUUUGACAUUAGAAUACUAUGUUAAAAAGAAAGUGGCCCUCUCUCUAAAGGGGCUUAUGCACUCCAUGACUUUCUAAUGUUAUGGACAGUUUAGAAAGAAAGACGUGCAAAUUGAAACGGAGGAAGCUGCCCUUGCAGAUAAGAUGAUCGAGAUACGGAACAGGGAACUCGCGCGCUUCAGAAUCCCUUUCAGAUAGUAGGACCCCUUUGUGAAUUUUUCGUUUUGAAUUUAUAACUUAUGCUAUAUUUUCAAUUUCAUUUAGGAGUAUUGACUUGAUAUUUUACAUUGAAACUAUUUUUUUAAGUUAGACUUGAUAGAUUAUCUUUUUGUCAAAUGUAUUAUAAUUUCAAGACAUUAUAUUUAUAAUAUUAAUCUUUUUGUCAAAUAUGCAUUUUAUGAUGUACAUAGAAAUUUUGUACUUUUAGCUUUUAUGAUUAGUUUAAUUAAAAAUAUAUUAAAUUAAAAAAUAUAAAUCAAUUACAUUAACACGUGUAAGGUAAUAUGAAACGGAGGGAGUACUUAUUUCAAGUAUCACUCUUUUUCCUAAUUAUUCACCAAAGAAAAAAAAAAAGAUCCAUACAAAUUUUUACCUUCAAUUAUUUGGGUGUUUCCACGUAAUUAAGCUCAUACAUUGUACUAAAUGUACGUUUUAAAGUUUAAACAUUUGGAAUUUGGAUACUCAUAAGUCUAACUUGAUUACGAUCCAAUCCAUAAUGCAUAAACCAGGAUAUAUUAAAUAGCCAUUACAACUAAUUAAUCGUAAUUAAAUUAAUCAAGCACGUACACCAUCCUAAUUAAUUCUCUAAUUAGUUAGCCAAGAAGAACAUCUUCAAUAAUAGUGUAGUCGAUUUACUUUCUCAUUUUUCAUUUUACUUGGCCCCUCUAUUUUAUUUUUUUUAAAUAAUCAAUUUAUUUGUCCAUUUUGCGAAUUAAGAGGGUUUUGUUACUUCCGAUUUUUUUUUACUGUCCUUAUUAUUUUGUUAACUAGCUACCUAAACUAAGUAGAAAUAGUCAAAUUUAGAAUUCUAAAACAUCAUUAAUAAAGUAGUUUCGUAAAAGAAACAUUUACAGUAAUUUCUUAAAGGGUGUGUCAAGUCAACAUGAGUCAAGUAAUUAAUAUAAAACAAGAGUACUAUCGAAAUUGAAUAAAAACCCUUGAGAUGCCAACGUUUAAUUGGACCAGUAAGCAUAUCCUAUUUCUUUGAUUUCAUUAAAAUUAACUAUUAAUCAAUAUAUCAUUUAUAAAAAAAACUCACGUAUUUGAUUAAUUUCCCACAUUAUAUUUACUCUUCACCUUCAUAUCAUAAAUCCCUAUUAUAGCACCUUGUUAAUACUAAUCCCACGUCCUCCAUUUUUUUUCCUAAGCAAUUAUCACUCGAAUUAAUCCCACUAUCACUUUGCUAAUUAAAGACAUGAAGAAUAUUACUCUCAUGACCAUCAAAAUUGUUCUACUACUUACCCUAGUUUCAUGGAUUAAUAUUCUUCAAGCUCACCCUAUAACCACAUCUAGUACUGGUUGUACUACUACACUUAUGACACGUCUAAAACUACAAGAUGAAGAAAGGUUCAUCACGGGAUUCAUUAUUCAAGCUCCAAGCAUGCACGGGGCCGGGAAUCGUGCUUUUCUUCGUUAAUGGUGAAACCUAUCUAGGUCAAGAUUGUUGUGAUGCUAUAAGAAUUAUUGAACGUCAAUGUUGGCCAUCUAUGCUUGGUUCUCUUGGUUUUACUUCUGAAGAAGGUGAUAUUUUGCAUGGAUAUUGUGAUGCUAGUGAGUCUUCUUCAAUCCCAGAGAGACACCACUAAGAGACACCACUAUCUCCUAAUUUGGCUCCAUAAGUAGAUUAAUUAAUUUUAAUGUUGCAAAAAUAAAAAAGGGGGUUUUAAACUUUAAAGUAUUGUUAUGUAACAAUAAUAUCAUGGAAGAAUAUAUUAAACUUUGACAUAUGUGUUUGAUGCACACUUUUUUUAUUUUUUUGGAUUUUUGUCGAGUUAUAAUUUAUAUAGUGAAAAAAACUAUCUACACCCCUCUGGUAUGAUUUGUCAUGUUUCUUUUUUUAUAUAUAUUUUUCUAUGAUAACAUUAUUUAAAAUGGUAUUUGACUAGUUUAUCUUCAUUUAUGUUCUAAGAACAAUUAUCUCCUUAGUGUGACGAUGUGCCACAUCAUUGUGCCAUGCAAGUUCCACAUGACACAAAGUUACCCAUUUGGAGGAAUUACAUAGGAAGAAGACUUAUCCUUGUGGAUUAUUCUAGAGAAAGAUAAAUAUUUUUUUUAUAGAAGAUUAUUGAAUUACAUAGAAGUCACUAGAUUAUUCUAGGUAUGUAGAGAGUUCUAUAAAAGAGAUCUUAAUGUAAAUAUGUAGGAUCUUACAAAGAAAUUAUUAUUUAUAUGUUAGCCCCUAGAUUAGUAGUAUAAAUAGAGGGACAUCCAUUUGCAAAACCAUCAAACAAAAAUCAUUACAAGUUCUCUACACAAUUAUUCCUAACAAUCCUCUUUCAUUCUCUUCAUGUCAUUGUUUUGGUGAAGAGUUAUUUGAUAUUUGUGGCAAAUAAAUCAUAAAAUUAAUCGAGGUGCACAUAAAACUAAUUCGAAACUCAUAAUCAUCAAAUAUCAUAAAAUUCACAAAUAGAAGAAAACAAGAUUUAGAAAAUCAAUUAACUAAUUUUUCACUAAUUUACUAAAUAAAAAAAAGGUUCAAGUCAUAAUUCCUACUGACCGGUUAAGCCUUCCUUUUAAAUUGACUUUGAACUUCAAUUUUGAUUUGUAAAUAAUCAAUUUUUGUAUUGAUUAGGUUGUGGGAGAUGUUAGUGCAAUUAAUAAUUAAAGAGACGUUUUGACUUGUUUGAGGUUAUCAUUAUCAUGAGAGGCUAUUCAAAACUAAAAGGGUAUUUUUAGCAAUAUUUUCAUUUUUUGAUUAAAUUUGUUGUUUAUUGUGUAUAUUUUCACUUAUAAUCUUCAUUUUCUAGAUUUCCCCAGAUUUACUCAUGGCAAAUGAAAACGGGAGUUUUAUAUGGGAGGGUAAAUAUAUUAUGGACGACGUUCUAGUCUAAAUAAUGAAACGAAAAAUGUUUUAGAUAGGUAAACAGUUCGCCAAUAUUCAACUGUAUAGCACACAAAAGUGUCUCUCAUGCAAGUGCAAGGUGUAGUAGAUAAUCAAGUGGUGCAAGAUCACAUAGACAGUAUCAUAUGUUUGAUGCGUUUUAGUCAUAAAUCAAGAUCAUUCUACUAUGCAAUUUAAUUGUGGAUAAAAAAAUUUCAUUCACUUUUCCCUUUAUAUUUCUAUAUUCAUUUACUUUAAUACAGAUUAAAUUCGUUUGUGACCGUUGAUUUAUUUUUUCCUUAAGUAGUUUGACUUUUGACAAGUGGAUACUCCAAACAAAUUACAAUUUUCUUUUCUACUCCGUCUAUCCUAGUUUAUUUGGCAGAGAGUUAAAUCUUUAAUUAAUUUGAUAAAAAAUACCAAUAUGAAAUUUUGAAGUUUUUGUUAUAAUCACAUUUAUGUGAAUUAAGACUUUAAAUAAAAUAGUUAAUUCAACUUCUAAAUCUAUCUAUAUAUAUAUAUAUAUAUAAAGGAGGAUAUGAAAAGGCUGAUGUGACAUACUUCUUUGAUCAGGAUUUAUAAUUAUCUUCUUCUUUUUUUCUGAUUUUUGAGAAGUUUCUCUCUAUUUUAGGAUUUAAAAUACUCUAAUACAUUAAUUAAUGAUGAUCUAUUUAUAUUAUUCCUUCAGUUAAUUAUAGUAAUUAUAGAAAAUUGAUUGGUUUCUUCUUCAUUGAUACAUAACCGUUAUUUUUCUUUAUUUAUUUAGACCUCAUUAUGUGAUCAUCAUUUAAUUAAUUAUUAAUUAACUUUAUUAUUCAAAUUUUUUCACCUUUUUAUUUGACAUUUUACAAUAUUUUUCUGAUUAAAAUUAAAUAUAUUCAUGAAAGUAUAAAAAGAUUAUUUAUUGGAAUUAAAUGCUCAAUUUUUAAAUUAUACGUUUUCCCAAAACUUUUAGACUUUUUUUACAUCUUAUGUUUUGUUCUUUCCUGCAGGGAAAUUGUAACAAUUGAAUUAAAAACAAGAGUUAAAUGUUAGUAAUAAUAAUAAUGAUUGCAAUUAAAAUAAUUGAAAGCUAUAAAAUAAAAACCAACAGUUACUAAUAAUAGAGACGUGUGAGGUAAUGAAAAGUCACGAGGACAACUAAUAAUUACGCCUAUAAAUUCAUGAGAAUUGCAAAGAUCCAAUGAAAUGACUACAAAGUUUUCUUCCCACCUGAUGAGGUAUGUUGAGUGACUAGCAAAUUUCUCUUUUUACUUUUUUCUUUUAACUUAUUCAUUAUUUUCAAAGUAUAUCAUAGUUUUAUUUUUAUGUAGAAGCAAAUAGUCUUUUUAUGAUAUAUAUUUAGAUUGCUUUGAAUAGUGUUAUAAUUUCUUAACGAUUCUCUUAUAUCUAUCCUUUAUCAGCGGCGGUUCAACGUACUUGGAGGUCUAAAGCGAAAUUUCAAUUAAAGGCCUAAAAUCUUUUAGUUAGCAAUUAUUAUAUAAAUUGUUAACAUUAUUCUAUAAGUAAUAAGUUGACAAAACUGCUUAUAAGCUUCUUCUUUUUUGGUUUAAAAAUACAUAAAAUAAGUCAAUCUAAACAGGCUUGUAAUUCACUUUAUCCAAAACAUGAUUUUUACUAUUGAUUCAUAUUUUUGAUAGAGCUCUAACUUACAUAUAGCAUAAAAGGGGUCUAGAAAAUUACAAUGCGAGAGUUAGUGAAGAGAAUGUAAAAAGACAAAACAACAUUUUUCUUGAUUUCUUCUAUUCGAUUGAGAUUAAGGAGAAUAAAAUAAUAUAUAUAUUUUUAAGAAAAAUACUUUCUUAGAUAAUUAAUUUUUUCUAUAAAAAAAAUUAACACAUAAUUUAUUGUGGUAAAAUUAGAGGCCCCUAAAAUUGGGGGCUAAGGCAUAUGCCUAAUUUUUAUAAGUAUUGAGCCGCCACUGCCCUUUAUAGAAUAUUAAAUUUAACUAUAUGAGAUUUUGUGGCAAGUUAUAUAACAAUUAUUUCGCUAUUGAUUUGAUGAGUUUUUUAUUUAUUUUUAAUAAUGAUCAACAUGUUUAGGGGAUCAUUAUUUAUGAACAACUAAAUUGUAGGGGUGAGUACCUUAUUUAUACUUGACCUGUCAUACUUCAAAAGGUAUGAUACUUCAUAGUAAUUUUUUCAAUUUUUGUAAAAGCUAAAUGUUAAUUAAUUAAAAUACUUCAUUAGCCUUUCUUUCUAUUAUUUUUGUCAAACAUUCUAAAUAUUGAGGAUUUGCUCUAGAAUUUUAUUUACUUAUUAAUAUUUUAUUUUAUUUUACAAUUUUUCUUAUUUCUCUAUUAUUAUUGUAAAAUAAUAAAUAUGUCAAUUAACCAUUCAUUAAUACUUUAAUAAUUUAAAACUUGAUGAUCUUUGUUUACAUUACUCCAAUAUUUUUUUAUUAUCAUAACUCCUAAAAUAAUUAAUAGUCAUUAUAUUAUUUCGGUAUACAUAUUGUAGUUCUAUAAAUAAAGACAUGGUAAAACAUUGUAGAAAUGAUUACAUUAUAAGUCUCUCAAGUUAUUAUAUUUUUGAUACGUAAUUCUUAUAUUCAUGUUUUAGUUUGACUUGAAUAGUAAAAUGAAGGCUAUUGAAUGAUGAUCGGCUUGUGGGAAUGAAUGUUGACAAGAGUUAGGAAAAUUGUACAUUGAUUUCAUUUUUUUUUUUCUUCAAUUUUUUAAAUAAUCAAGAUCAUAAUAAUGAUGUACAUUUUUUAUUAUUUAUCUUAUGUUCUAUCCAUAAUUUUCUUUGUUUUAUAUUUUAUACGAUUCGUUUUACUGUUGUAAGUUUAUAAAAAAAAAAAAUUUGGUUCAAAUAAACAACUAUGACAUUGUUUGGAGUCAUGGGACUACUAAUCAAACGUUUAUCUUUAUGAAAUCAAUUAUACGUCUGGAUGCAUAUAUAUAUAUAUAUAUAUAUAUAUAUAGUAUACAUGUACAUAUUAUAAAUAUCUCUUCUAUUUAUAUUAUAUUUUAAUAAAAUUAUCGACAUCUUAUCAUCUUUUUUAACCGCGCAAAGCGCGGAUAAGUUCACUAGUCGAUAUAUAUAACCGAUAAGAGAAAGUGUACAAUACAAGGGCAUGUCACCUUCUUGGCCGAUUUGUAACACACAUACAUGUGCAAACUAGAAGAGUGCGCUAAGAUGGUAAGCACACUCCACAGGCCAUUUCCAAUCCUGAAAUUGUGAGUUCGAAUCACCAUGAGAGUGAAAAUGUGGGAGCUCGUAGUGAGGGGUAAGAAAAAAGACCGCUUGUAUAUAGUUCUAUGAGAUGCAUUUUCCAUGUUUUGUUGUCAAAGGCCUAUACAUUUACAAAGGCGAAUCGAGCAUCGUUGAGAAUUACAUAAAAGUCAAAAUUUACCCCAAGUGCCAAAAGCAUUUCUCCGCUGAGUGUUUAGAAGUUGACACCAUUUUGUUGUCUUCAGGUACCACAAGCUUGGGAGUCAUCUGAUUUUUCACAGUUCCCUGGUUCUUUGAUAGUACACCUGGAUACAUAGGUUAAACUCGAACUUAUGAACGACUUUAUGUCUUUCUUUCCCUCAACUUCAACCCAUUUGUCAUCAACCCAAUCUCUUGAAGUCCUCACGUUCUUCCUUUGAAUCUCCAAUAAUAUGUUCUCCAUAAAUCCCAAAAUAAAAAUGGAACUGGAAUACCUUUUCACCUUCUCCCAAAAAAACCCACAAAAUGUCAAAGCAUAAGACAUGAUCUGUAGCCUAUGAAUAGUUCACAAAAUGUGAGAUUGAUAUUAUACCAUCAAAUUGAUAAAGUUAGGACAUUUGCAGAACUUGGAGCAUUGUUGCUUGUAGACAUGAUCAUAAGACAUUUGCUCAUGUCUCUACAUUGAUCGGGUGUGUAACAAGCAGCCAAUAAUCUAUGAUCAACUUCUUCGGUAAAUGCUAAAUACUAGAAAUGAGAGCAUUUGAUGUACAUGUACGCCAAUAAAUCUCAUGUAACUGAAAUCUUAAGACUGCUACAUGUUUAUACAUACCUGAAAUAGGUGGUGUUGGUGAUGCUUUGAAAUAAAAAACAUCAAUCAUUCCACUACCUCUUUUCUUGUACGCAACAUUGUGUCAGCAUUUACGGUAUUUGUAUGCCCAAAAGCAUCCAAAUAAUCCUCAGAGACAACAUGUAGUAUGUGCCUUGUACUUCUUUCAGUACCCACCACAGCAAGGAUUAACUCCCCUGAGGUAUCCUUCAAGUAGUACUGCACAACACGACGGCCCUUCCCUUGAGAAACAACGUGCUCUUCCCACGAUAUAAAUACAUGAUUAUCUGUAUCCACAGAGAAAACAGUUUGGAUUAAUCAAAAACAGCCCAGUUCUUAAACACCUCAUCCAGAAACAUAAACAAACAUUUUAGGUAACAAUCAUUUUUUGAAAAAUAACAAGUAACAAAAGGACAAGAAAUAACAGAUAGUAACAAAAAUCGAAGGACAAAAAACAUCAGGGGCAAUAGUAUGACUACUAAUUUGAACGGACAUGAAGAGUCAUGAGCAUACAUAAUCCUCCUAAGUUCUGCUACAACUUAGGACCUGGUCGAACAAACAGAAAUGAUUGUAAUUAAGAACAUCAGAUACAAAGAAGAGAUUUUAGCUCCUGAUGACCAUAUAAACAAUGAAAAAACAGCAUCAAACCACAACUCCAAAUGAAACACAGACAGAAUUUCACAUAAUCCAAAUAUAAUUCCAGAAAACUCUCAAUACAAUUCAGCUAAAAGAGCAAAUAUUUUAUUUUCAAGAAUUACAUACAAAGAACCAAAUUCACAAUGAAAAACAACAAUGAAGCCCAAACCCCGUGAAAAACGAAAGGGGUUUGCUGAUUUCCAAAGAUUAACCAGAACAUUGAACCAGCCUUGAGCUGACACCAAGUAAUCACACUUACAUCAAAUAGCUUAGGGUUGGAAAAAAAACAAGCAGCAAAAAAGAACCUGGAAUUGAAGGAAAAAAAGGUAAGCAGGUAACUAGUACUGACUGACUUCAAAAACAGCAAAAGCUUGUUGCUUUAUUGAGAAACUGAGCUUGACAAAAAAGCCAGAGAAUGCUGAGUUUUUAUAUUUAGAAGCAGUGAAUCCGUAUGGCCUUAAACUAACAAAAUUAGUGUUGCAACAAUAUUAGUCACAGAUACUUUAUUCCAAAAUUAAACAGAAAAAUCGGAUCUUGAAUCCAUUUCAUGCUCAUGUCAGGUCAAUGUACAGAGAAAAAAAACCCUGCAAAAUUACGUCCAAUUUAUUAUAAUCGAUUAGUUAACAUGUUGGUUAACUAUAUUAGGAAACAUGGAAAAUAUCAUUGGCUUAAUCAUAUAUAGCCGUGAAAAACAUUCAACAAAAGACAAACCCUAAAUCCUAUAAAUCCUUAAAUAAACCCUAAAAACCAUUUAAAACACCUACAAAACCCCAAAAUUUUUCGUGGACGUCCAUUAAGACCUUAUAUAUAGAGCCAGUUGGCCCUCACCGCCAAAACGUCCCAUUUUCAAGGUCAAACGACCCCCAGAGCAGGUAAAACCCCCAUUUUGCCGGGGAACCGUUCCCAGUCCGUCCCCCGGCCGGCACGCGGCGACCCGCUCUUGCCGCGGGAGCAGCUCGAGCAGUCCACCGACAGUCGACGGGUUUGGGACUGGGAUCCCGUGCCCACAAACGUCGGCCGACCGUUGUGUGCAGGACAAAAGCAAUGCGGGCAGGCCACGUUCGACGUCGGCUGACCGUUGUGUGCAGGUCAAGGAAGAUGCGGCCUGGCCAAGCCCGACGUCGGCUGACUGAUGUGUGUAGGUCAAGGGCGGAAUAACCUUAACAUACCUUUCCAAUGAACGCUCGAAAGAUUGUAGUUCCUUCACGAAAGUUGCUCCUUAUGUCCUAAGCUUCGCAAACACUAUAUAUACAAAAAAAAAUCCACUAUCCGUAAUAGAAAACUUCUAUUUGUUCACAAAAUUAAUCAUAUUUUCUUUGCUAACGAAGAAUAUAAUAUUUCAUUUGGACUAAUAAUAGCUAUGUGAAUCUCUUCCAGAUCGAAUGGAAGCAGAUUGCGCUUUCUCUGCCUGAGGACUUGCUUGAAAUGAAAGCGGGCUACAUCGCCGUAUGUAUGCACCACCUUUCAGUAACAAGGUAACAAUAACUGUGCUGAAGUAAGAAAACAGGGACAAGAUCUAUCCGCACCCAUUUCCUUAUUAAGCAAAGAGGAAAUUGUGCAGCUCAAUCAGUAUGAUAAAAGCCAAAUUAUGUAAGCAAACAACUAUUUGAUCAUACUAGUGUGUUUCUGCUGUUGAUAAACUGUUAGAACUUUUUGCUCAUCUUCUAAAAUUAAAAAAAUGGUAUUAGACUUUCAAGAAAAAGGAUUCUGAAAAACAGGUCAUACUCAGAGGAAACUUCAUAAAGUUACAACUUUUAUGCAUAACCGAUAAGAGAGUGUACAAUACAAGAACAUGCCAACUUCUUGGCAAAGAGUGCUUGCCUAUAGUUCUAUAAGAUGCCUAUUCCAUAUAUUGUUGUCAAAGACCUAUAGAUUUGCAAAGGCAAAUUGAGCACCGUUGAGAGCUACUUACAAGUCAAACUAUACCCACAGUACCAAAAGUAUUUCAUCAUUAUCGAGAAGAACUGACGGGCGCUAGAUGAUAGCAUUAUCACUUGUAGAAUUGUCUGAAAUCAGUUCUUGUUAUCUGCAAGAAAAUCAAUAUACCAUCGUUUUUUCAGUUUAAGCACAUCAGUGUCUUGCUUCUCCGCUGAGUGUUUGGAAGUUGAAGCCAUUUUGUUGUCUUCAGGUGCCAUAAGCCUGGGAGCCAUCUGAUUUUCGCAGUUCUCCGGCUCAUUGAUACUGCCCCUGGAUGCAUAAGUUAAACUUGAGCCUAUGAACGACUUCAUGUCUUUCUUUUGCUCAACUUCAAUCCAUUUGUCAUCAACCCAGUCUCUUGAAGUCCGCACAUUCUUCCUUUGGAUCUCCAAUAAUAUGUUCUCACCUAUUAUUGAGAUAAGAAAAAACACAUUGGCGCAUCAGUCCAUGACCAAUAUCGAUCAUUUAAACUUACGGACAACAAAUUAGCCGGAAGCUAGGCCUACUAUUUAGAACUCUUUCAACUGAUGAGUUAUAAAGCCAAUUUAUGACAAUGCUGAGCUUAGACAUAUGAAUUCAAGUAAGAAAUGAAAAUAAUAAGAGACUCCAAUUUUACAUCCAUUGGCAGUUGAGUUAUCCUUAUGCGAAGUUGCUAUGCAUCAACCAAUAAGCAAGAAUUCUCCUUUUAUUUCUUGUUUUCUGUUUCUAUUGUAACUUUUUAGUUUUUGGGGACUGUUAGUUCUUACCAGGGAAGUAAACCUGAAGAUGAUCGCUUCCAGAGACAUCAAAUCCAGUUACAACACCUUCCCACCACCCGUCAGACCACCAAGCAUCAACUGCAGCCCCUAGUUCAAAAGAACAGUCAGAAGAAUCCUCCAGAGGCUGGGGCCGAACUGUGAGGCGUCCUGUGCAUCUCAUGCCCAAUUUAUCAGAGACUGCAACUUUGUAGGAAGGAAUCCAUUCCUAUAAAUCAAGCAAAGGUGAUGAGAAGACAGGGUGAAGGGAGAACUGACCAGUCAAAAUACGUAAGUAGAUCAUAAGUUAUAGUCGAAGUGGUUAAGGUACCUCGAGCUUUUCAAGACUUUCACAAUCCUGAAUGUCAAUAUAUUGAACUUCCAUACGUUUUUGUGAUACCUGUAAUACUUUACACCUGAACCAGCAACCUUUCAUGCCACUAUCGUUGCAAAGAACCUCUAUGCUGUCACCAACAUCAAAAGACCGCUUAUAUUGAGGCUCCACAAGCUGAAUUCCUACUGGUUCUAUGUUUGGAUAUUUUAUUUUUAACUUUGGGUAAGUUGGUGGUUUGGCUUGUGCUAUCUGGUUACCUGGAAUUGACUUUCUGAUACCAGAAUGGCAACUCUCACCGACACUUCUACUCCCACUAGGUCCUUGCAUUGAAGGAUCUUCUUGGGUUAUCUUUUUUGAGACAUCAUCAGAUAUGUGACCAGCCAUCAAAGCACUUCUUCUUGUUUCUCUUCUUGGGGUAUCUACAAGAUAAGGGAAGUCUAAUUACUAUAAUGUGAAGUAUAUUAAAGCUAAGAUAAAAAUAAUUUAUAACUACUAGGCUUAGUAUUCUUUCUACAGAGAUCCAAUUUUAUAGAGCAUCAACAACUCAAAAAUCAUAAGCAACUUUGCAGCAUAUACAGCAAUUUUCUGAGUAUUCA
rnacentral:lncRNA from 1 species